rnacentral:rRNA from 1 species
CCCGCCGGCGACCGGCGCACGGGUGAGUAACACGUAUGCAACCCUGGCCGCCACAGGGGGAUAACCCGCGGAAACGCGGCCUAAUACCCCGUGACGCCACCGGAGGGCAUCCUCCGGUGGCCAAAGGAGCGAUCCGGUGGCGGAUGGGCAUGCGGCGCAUUAGCUAGACGGCGGGGUGACGGCCCACCGUGGCGACGAUGCGUAGGGGUUCUGAGAGGAAGGCCCCCCACACUGGGACUGAGACACGGCCCAGACUCCUACGGAAGGCAGCAG